GAAAUAAAUAAAAUAAAGCUUCUAACUUUAACUUAGAUAUUAAAUUUAUCUUUAUUUCU
rnacentral:tRNA from 1 species